rnacentral:rRNA from 1 species
AGCGAACGCUGGCGGCGUGCUUAACACAUGCAAGUCGAGUGCGCAGUUUCCUGUAGCAAUACAGAAAAUGGGCGCACGGCGCACGGGUGCGUAACACGUGGACAAUCUACCCUUUGAUGGGGAAUAACCCGCCGAAAGGCGGGCUAAUACCGCAUAACAUCCCAGUCGCUUCGGCGAUAGGGAUCAAAGCCCGCAAGGGCGUCAUUGGAGGAGUCCGCGGCCGAUUAGCUAGUUGGUGAGGUAAUGGCUCACCAAGGCUUGGAUCGGUAGCCGGUCUGAGAGGACGAUCGGCCACACUGGAACUGAGACACGGUCCAGACUCCUACGGGAGGCAGCAGUGGGGAAUCUUGCGCAAUGGGCGAAAGCCUGACGCAGCGACGCCGCGUGGGGGAUGAAGCUUCUCGGAGUGUAAACCCCUUUCGACCCGGACGAAUGACCCGCAAGGGUUUGACGGUACGGGGAGAAGAAGCCCGGCUAACUACGUGCCAGCAGCCGCGGUAAGACGUA